rnacentral:lncRNA from 1 species
GUUCCAUGAUAGCCAAAGUGUGACACAGAGUCAAAAAGUCUCAAGGUCUAAAGAAUGCUAAGCAUGAAUAGCUUGAUGGAGUUCCCUGAUGCUUUAUACCCAUCAGUACCAGGAAUUGAAUGCUGAUACUAGAUUCUCUGUACAAUGUCCAUCAUUGCCUCCCAACACUUGUCCCUUCUCUUACAUUCCCUACCUUAUUGAAAGCAUCAUUGUAUCAGAAGGCCCCAUUGUCCUCAUCAACUUCCAUUUCUUCCCCAACAUUAAUCUGAUCCAAGAUCCCAACAACUCAAACUGUUAAGUGGCUUCCUCUCUUCUAUGACUUACCACUACCUCAUUUUAGGACCACACCACCCCUCCAUGACCUCUGCCUCAGCCUCCCAACCACACACUGUGUUCCCUCUAAUCUGUCACCUGACGACAAUGGAACUGUCUUUCAAAAGCUCAAGUCAAAGAAUCCCUCUUUUUAAGAUGCUCCAAAGGUUCCUGCCUCCAGCCACGCUGAACACACUAUUACCUAAGCCAUCUCUGUGCUUACAGAUUGUCCCCAUGGGAGACUUCUUGAAGGACAACUUCAAAGCCUGGUUCAAGUAUCAGCAUCUCCACUAAACCUUCACAUUCCUUGGUCAUAUCCCUGAACGCACAAGGCUGGUCUUUGUUUUGUUUUCAUGAUCCUGAAAUAAAGAAACUGGGUCUUCCUCAUCUUAAUACCAGUUUCAGCUCUUUAUCUGUCAUGAGUCAGCUUAAUCCAGGCUUGUCAUCGGGAUGAAUAUAUUAGAUACUGAAAAGAUGAUGACUUCAAUG